GUGGCGGAGCCACGUGGGGACAGGGGAAGGCCAUGGCCACCCCAUUAUUUUUGAGAAAUUACCAAAAUACCCUUAAGUUAAUAUAAAAUCUACAACCAUGCCACCCUCACUUUUCCUGAAACGCGCUCUUCUCUCUACUCUGGACGCAAGUUCACUUUUAUUCUCUCUGUUGAAACUCAUCUGACAUUUAUUCAUCUUCUCUCUGUAUCCAUCUCUCUCCAUCCGUCACGGUUGCACAACCAAAAACCCUAAUUAUAUUAAUGCGGCAAACAAGCUUGGAGCUUGUAAUCCAGCUGAACAAUAGAAGGAGUGUGAUCAAUGCAACACCUUCUUCAUGCAGUCAUGCUUCCUGCCCUUUUUAAUUAUAACUUACAUCAAGAGUACUCUUCCACUUGUGAUCAAAUUUUGGGAUUUGUUACCGUUUCUGAUAUGGAUAAUGUCACACCUAUCCUUCGGGCGCCACCAAGAUAUUCAACUGAACCAUGUGUUGCCACUGCCCUGGGUGAUACUGUUGCAUGUGCAUCUCUUGGAAAUAAUCAAAAUCUUUCUCUAGGAGGAGCAACCAACUUUAAGUCUCGUCCCAAAUGAUUGUAAUCGACUUAGACACACUACCGGUCGUUGUUGGAAGUUGCAUGACAAGCCUCAACAUCCGGUAAAUGCACCUUCUGACAUUGUUCAGACCACACCUCCUCAAGGUUCUCCAACAAGCUACAGUGAUUUCCUUCGGUGUUGUCAGAGUAAUCAGAACUCCAGUUCUACUGCUUUGGUUGCACACACCAAUAAUUCAUGUUUUCCUCUCUCAAUCAUUGUCAUGUAGUUUUUAAUCAAAACAUUUAUUUGAUCAAGACUUUAUUGUGGUAUUUGAUCAAAGCUUUUAUGAAAUUUAGAUCUUAAUUAUGAUUUGAAAACA